AUACGGAGGGUCCGAGCGUUAAUCGGAAUUACUGGGCGUAAAGCGCGCGUAGGUGGAUGUAUAAGUCAGAUGUGAAAGCCCUGGGCUCAACCUAGGAACUGCAUUUGAAACUGUACGUCUAGAGUAUGGUAGAGGUGAGUGGAAUUUCAGGUGUAGCGGUGAAAUGCGUAGAGAUCUGAAGGAACAUCAGUGGCGAAGGCGACUCACUGGGCCAUUACUGACACUGAGGUGCGAAAGCGUGGGUAGCAAACAGGAUUAGAUACCCUAGUAGUCC
rnacentral:rRNA from 1 species